UUCAAUACUAUUUAAGUAAUUAAAUAGUGUGCACUUCUCUUUUAGUAAGACGUUGUGAUCCAUUAGGAAUUGAUUGUUCAAACAAUUAUUGAGCUACCAAUAGACUGGUAUUGAAGUUCAUAAUGAUAAAUAAUAUAAUCUAUAUGUUUGUAUAUAUUAUCUUGUGAGCAUACCAUGUACUGAUGUAGCUGCCUUAUGGAUUUUAAAGGUUAUAACAUUAAUAUGAAUAUAUUAUCCGUUUUCACGAAUGGAAUCAUUGUUAUAUACCCGAUCAACAACGGAUUCAUUUGGGAUACCUUUGGGACCCGUCUUGAAACACGGACCAAGGAGUCUAUCUAGUAUGCAAGUAAAUGAGAUAUUAAAACUUAUUUGCGUAAAUAACUUAACUGUUUUUAAAUGGGAUUACGAAUUACAUUUUUUAUAAAAUGUACUCCUCCAUCCCGGGGUAUUUUCAUCAUAUAUAUGGGUAACUAUAUAUAGAAAAUAUACCAUGAGCAUACUGGAUAUGACCCGAAAGAUGGUGAACUAUGCCUGAUCAGGUUGAAGUCAGGGGAAACCCUGAUGGAGGACCGAAGCAAUUCUGACGUGCAAAUCG
rnacentral:rRNA from 2 species